rnacentral:rRNA from 1 species
GACGAACGCUGGCGGCGUGCUUAACACAUGCAAGUCGAACGCUGAAGCUUGGUGCUUGCUCUGGGUGGAUGAGUGGCGAACGGGUGAGUAAUACGUGAGUAACCUGCCCUUGACUCUGGGAUAAGCCUGGGAAACUGGGUCUAAUACUGGAUACGACAUGCCACUGCAUGGUGGUGUGUGGAAAGGGUUUUACUGGUUUUGGAUGGGCUCACGGCCUAUCAGCUUGUUGGUGGGGUAAUGGCCUACCAAGGCGACGACGGGUAGCCGGCCUGAGAGGGUGACCGGCCACACUGGGACUGAGACACGGCCCAGACUCCUACGGGAGGCAGCAGUGGGGAAUAUUGCACAAUGGGCGGAAGCCUGAUGCAGCGACGCCGCGUGAGGGAUGACGGCCUUCGGGUUGUAAACCUCUUUCAGCACGGAAGAAGCGAGAGUGACGGUACGUGCAGAAGAAGCGCCGGCUAACUACGUG